UACGGAGGGGGCUAGCGUUGUUCGGAAUUACUGGGCGUAAAGCGUGCGCAGGCGGCUUUUUAAGCCAGAUGUGAAAUCCCCGGGCUUAACCUGGGAACUGCAUUUGGAACUGGAAGGCUAGAGUGCGGCAGAGGGGGGUAGAAUUCCACGUGUAGUAGUGAAAUGCGUAGAGAUGUGGAGGAAUACCGAUGGCGAAGGCAGCCCCCUGGGUCGACACUGACGCUCAUGCACGAAAGCGUGGGGAGCAAACAGG
rnacentral:rRNA from 1 species